UUCACAUCUGUUCUGUGUGUUUGUGUCUACAGGUGAACUCUCUGCCAGUUCUCUGGCUCGUUGAUGGGCAGCUAGUGGUCCCUCCUGGAUACCUGAUGCCGGUGCACGACCCCCGCCCCGCUGCAACCACCCAGAGCGCCUGCUGCUCACAGAAGAGGAAGUGAGAUGACCACAGCGAGCCGCCAUACGUUAAGAAGCCACCCAACG